AUUGAACGCUGGCGGCAUGCCUUACACAUGCAAGUCGAACGGCAGCACGGGCUUCGGCCUGGUGGCGAGUGGCGAACGGGUGAGUAAUACAUCGGAACGUGCCCUGUCGUGGGGGAUAACUAGUCGAAAGAUUAGCUAAUACCGCAUACGACCUGAGGGUGAAAGCGGGGGACCGUAAGGCCUCGCGCGAUAGGAGCGGCCGAUGUCUGAUUAGCUAGUUGGUGGGGUAAGAGCCUACCAAGGCGACGAUCAGUAGCUGGUCUGAGAGGACGAUCAGCCACACUGGGACUGAGACACGGCCCAGACUCCUACGGGAGGCAGCAGUGGGGAAUUUUGGACAAUGGGGGCAACCCUGAUCCAGCAAUGCCGCGUGUGUGAAGAAGGCCUUCGGGUUGUAAAGCACUUUUGUCCGGAAAGAAAUGGCUCUGGUUAAUACCCGGGGUCGAUGACGGUACCGGAAGAAUAAGCACCGGCUAACUACGUGCCAGCCGCCGCCGUAACAC
rnacentral:rRNA from 1 species